UACGGGGGGAGCAAGCGUUGUUCGGAUUUACUGGGCGUAAAGGGCGCGUAGGCGGCGUGGUAAGUCACUUGUGAAAUCUCCGAGCUUAACUCGGAAAGGUCAACUGAUACUGUGCGGCUAGAGUGCGGAAGGGGCAACUGGAAUUCUUGGUGUAGCGGUGAAAUGCGUAGAUAUCAAGAGGAACACCUGCGGCGAAGGCGGGUUGCUGGGCCGACACUGACGCUGAUGCGCGAAAGCUAGGGGAGCGAACGGG
rnacentral:rRNA from 1 species